rnacentral:ncRNA from 2 species
CGACAAAAACAGGGGAGCCCUCACGGGCUGAGAGGAAGCGGACCGCUUCGACCCUUUACCUGAUGUGGGUAAUGCCACCGUAGGAAGUUAUGUAUGAGCAUCC